GAACGCUGGCGGUGCGCCUUAUGCAUGCAAGUCGAGCGAAGCUUUUCAGUAGUUUACUACAGAAAAUGACUGAGCGGCGAACGGGUGAGUAACGCGUGAGCAACCUACCUUAGUUACUGGGAUAGCCCGAGGAAACUCGGAUUAAUACCGGAUAUUCUUAUUUAAUCACAUGAUUUUUUAAGGAAAGGUCAGCCGAACUAAGAUGGGCUCGCGUUCUAUCAGCUAGUUGGUAGGGUAAUGGCCUACCAAGGCUACGACGGAUAGCUGGUCUGAGAGGACGAUCAGCCACACUGGGACUGAGACACGGCCCAGACUCCUACGGGAGGCUGCAGCAGGGAAUAUUGCGCAAUGAGCGAAAGCUUGACGCAGCGACACCGCGUGUGGGAUGACGGAUCUAGGUUUGUAAACCACUUUCAGGAGGGAAGAAAAUGACGGUACCUCCACAAGAAGCCCCG
rnacentral:rRNA from 1 species